CUUCGCUCCGGUAAAUGCAUCGCGUUUCUUCCUUUUCUGAGAACAAAUCCCUAAUCUCCUUCUCUAUUAACUAACCGGCAACCACAAAAGCGGCGACGAUUAGUCCAGUCUUCACUCCAGUCAUCAGUGCUCACGAACUGGUAUUUAAUCGGUUCAUUUGUCUUCCUAUAGUUUAUCUCCAUGAAGCCGGCAAGCUCUUCGGUCAGUUUAUCACGAAACCUCCUCCUCUGUUCAUUAAAGUCUUAUCCUGCAUUAUAUAAUCUGUACUUGCUUUAAUUGUUACUUUAUUCGCACACUAACCAUGCUCUCUCUCUCUCUCUCUCUCUCUCCUCUUCAUCAUUUUUUAGUGCAUUCGCUUCUCUGUUUACUGGAGCUAUAAUUAUAGAAAUUAUGUAUUUUUAACCAAAAAAAUUUUAUGCAACACAAAAUAAUUGUUAUACUAGGCAUCUGGCGAAGAUUUUGAUUCACUUAUCAUGGUGUUUGCAAGAGUGUUUUUCGAAUUCUGCUGCACCUUUGGAGGUUUAUGCGAAAGCUAUUAAUGCGGUUUACAUUUCAUCUGUUUUUUUUGAAGUAUUUAAUUGAAAAUGCUCAAAGCAAUAAUAGCAUCGGGGAGUUGUAUUUGUCAUUGAAUGUAAGUGAACCAGCACCUAAUGAUUUCAACACAGUUCAAACACAUACCUUCUACAUUACGAGUUGCUCAAUUUCAUGCUUAUUGCAAUGUCAACCCAGCAUUUCUACUGACCAUCUCCUGGACCAAGUGACAUGAACCCUUUUAUUAAUGCAGCCAUGGUUCAGGUUAGUGGAUGACCUUUGGCUUUAUUUCUUGCUCUAAGUUCAGAAUUGUUUAGAUCUUGCAAUCUUAUUAUGGAUGUUUUCUAUAAUUUGCUGGAAAGUUCUUUGGUUAAUUUUGUUGUUGGGAGAUUGCUACUUAAUUAUAUAGUGCAGCCUUGUAUCCCAUUUGACAGUGCAUCUUAUCCAGUAUUUUUUGGCGGGAGUCAGCCUGGAGUUUUGUAAAGAGUCAGUUCUGUAGCUCGUAUGAUAUUCUUAUUAGUGCUUCCUUUUAUUUAAAUAGACUUGAACUAGUCAGUUUUCUCAUCUAAAAACAUCAGUGCUUUUGUUGACAUUAUAUGUUUGCUUUGCAGCCGCUUUUGUUUUAUUUCCAUUCAAUUAUUUGGUCAGUUCAACUGGUGAAAGCUCAAGAAAUCCAUGUCUGAAUUUUUAUUUGAAGUAUGAAUUUUUUUAAUGUAUUUUAAAAUUCCUUAUGAUUUUACGAUCCGUUUUUACUAUCCGAGUUUGUUUUGUAUUUUCCGUGCCGUGUUAAAAUUGUGAUUUUAACAACCUUGAAUACAAACCAUCUCACCUUUGCCCGCAUCCUAACAAAACAUAAGGGCAAAAUGGGAUUUUCAUUAUAGAUUACUACAGUGAACAUCUCACGCGCUGUAGCUUAAUAGUUAAUGAAAGGAAAAGGGGAAGAAAAACGUUCUCCUUGAUCUAGUGGGGUUCUUCCAGUACACCACACUUUUUUUGUGAUAGUACUGGUGGCAGCUCCCUAGGCAAAGGGACCAUUGCACGCUCGCUGUUAUGCAACUGAAAGAAAAAACCUCCAACUCUCUGAAUCAAUCCUCUACUUGCACUAUAACAAUGCUUACAUCGAAGAUUUUUGGAGUCGGCAGCGACAGCGGCUCUGAUUCAAAGAGUUCUCAGCAAAAGAUUUCUAAUCGCCGAUACAAGGAGGGCUUUGAGGAGGUUAAAUGUCUAGAUAAAACUUACAGUGUUCUUGAUUUUAGAAUAUUCUUGUUUAUUGUAAUGUGCAGAGAAAAGCAUCAUGCUAAGAUGCAUCAUAAAAAUAUUAUGUUUUAUUAUUGAGUAUUUUACUGUUUGGUAUCUCUAAUUUCUUUUUGUUUUUUUUUUUUUUUCAUGUAAGUUUAGAAGACAUGUUCUAUAUAAUCAAACAUAACUUUUCUCUAUGCUUCUAAAAUAUAGCUAAAAAACAUGUUUUUUAGGAGAUUAGAUGUCCAAGUAAAACUUACGUUGUUCUUGUUUUUCAUAGUUUGCUUGUUCUUAAAAUAUUCUUGUUUAUUUUUUUGUACAUAAGCCAUGGUAUAUAUGGAAUAGUCAUAAAGUGUAAACAUGAACUUGAUUAUGUGGAACAUGCAGUAAAGAGAAUCAAAGUUGGUUAUCACGAUAGAGAAGUGAUAUUAAUAUAUUAGAUCUUUCUUAUUUUAAUUUUAUCUCACUUGAUAUAAAGUUUUUAAAAUAAAA